AUUGAACGCUGGCGGCAGGCCUAACACAUGCAAGUCGAGCGGAUGAAGGGAGCUUGCUCCUGGAUUCAGCGGCGGACGGGUGAGUAAUGCCUAGGAAUCUGCCUGGUAGUGGGGGAUAACGUCCGGAAACGGGCGCUAAUACCGCAUACGUCCUGAGGGAGAAAGUGGGGGAUCUUCGGACCUCACGCUAUCAGAUGAGCCUAGGUCGGAUUAGCUAGUUGGUGGGGUAAAGGCCUACCAAGGAGACGAUCCGUAACUGGUCUGCGAGGAUGAUCAGUCACACUGGAACUGAGACACGGUCCAGACUCCUACGGGAGGCAGCAGUGGGGAAUAUUGGACAAUGGGCGAAAGCCUGAUCCAGCCAUGCCGCGUGUGUGAAGAAGGUCUUCGGAUUGUAAAGCACUUUAAGUUGGGAGGAAGGGCAGUAAGUUAAUACCUUGCUGUUUUGACGUUACCAACAGAAUAAGCACCGGCUAACUUCGUG
rnacentral:rRNA from 1 species